CGGGCAGCAUCAAAACCUCUACCACCAACUUUUCAGGAAUUGCUGAAUAUAAUAAAAACCCAGUUUGAACCUGGGUUGAUACUCCUUGGUGUCCGUUUUGGCUGCGAUUGUGGUAGGAGCUUCAGGCACAAGAGACAUCUGACAUUUCACAUGAAGUACGAGUGUGGCAAAGAACCGAGCUUUAUUUGCCAUCUUUGCCCGUAUAAAGCCAAACGAAAGGGUCACCUCAACCAGCAUAUGAUUAUCAAGCAUAAUCGGUUACAAUGACAGAACUGCACGGGAAGACAAACCAAUUCCAACUCUCACAACACUCACGAGACUGUUUCUUCUUGUUUUCUACAAAUUUCAAAAUACAAUUUGUCCAGUGCUUUAACUUUUUCUUUAAAUAUGUUAAAUUCACUUAAUAAAAAAAAAAUGUUUGAAUUAAUUUUUUUUUUCAAACCAACCAUAACUACCAAAGGUUUUACAGUUUUAUACAGUUUAUAUCUAGAUGAUUAUUAUUUAGGGGAUAGUCUUUAUAAGAAGUUAUAAUUGUUUAAUUCUUAAAUUGCAGGGGGCCGAAAACCUUUUCUGUGGCAGUGCCCAAACUGUCAGGCAAGAUUCACUUUAAAGCACAAUCUCCAGAGACACAUCAAUUACGAAUGCGGAAAAGAGGCCACUUUUAAGUGUGCCGAUUGCCCGUACAGGGCUAAACGAAAGGAAAAUCUUAAGAGACACUUGGUCAUCGUGCAUUUGAAGGCGCCGAACACGUCGAGCCUUUAU